UCCUGAUAGUAUGCUGGAAUAUAACUCUUUUUGGUGCGUCAGUACUGUAUGGAAAGAAUUGUGAUGAAAGGGCCAGAGCGAGAACACUGCUGUGUAGCAAAAAAUGCAUUAUAGGUGACCUGGCUAACCAGUAGCUCACAACAGGCAAAAGAGGCCCAAUGGACCAACUAGUCACCAGUCCAAUUAUUGCUGCCACUAUAACAUCAGGAACAAAAUACCCUGCAAAGCAAAU
rnacentral:lncRNA from 1 species